GCGUCGAUUGCCUCGAUUUUCUUCUCGACUUUUUCCUUCCGUUUCCACUAUUCUUUCUCACAAUUCUCUGCUUUUGUUUCUCUCACUCUCCGACCUUGCGAUCUCAAUCACGAAAAUCUGCUUCUAUCACACUCCUAUUGCCACUGCAGCAGAGGCAUGAGUACCGCGCGUAUUUCUACGAAGUCUUCAAGCUUUACACAAAGCUAUGGAUCGCAAGACACUCCUCCCUCUGUUCUCUCACGAAUCUUCAGCUUUGUCUCUUUCACUCUUGAGGUACCUGCCGCUGUUACCGAUCUGUAGGUUAGGGAUAAGUUCGCAGCCAAACUCAAGAGUGAAACAACCUGUUUGCUCUGUUUUUUUUGUGGGACUACAAUUCCAGAUUCUUAUGGCAACAUGUCUAAACUGUUCAAGUUGAGUUUGAGAAACUGCAACUUGCAAGGGCCUAUUCCUGAUUUGAGUACGAUUCCAAACCUUGGUUAUGCAAAGGUUUAAGUUUAAUUGUGUAAAAAAAAGGAGAGAUUGAUCGCCGUUACUCAUAGCUGUGUUUCAAGAAACAAGUUUAUUUCUUGCCAAUUUUGUGUACCCACUUUUUAUUCAUGAUGGUUAGUGCUCGCUUGCAACCUAAUUUGCUGCUAUAAAGUUUUGUGUUUUACAAUCUGUUCAUGCUUAAACCUCUUCCAAUUUUGCAAUUCUAUGUAAAUCUUGCAAGUCAAGAUAGGACACCUAUCUGGGCAAUGUUGGGAUGUCUAGGCUUUCGUGGAGACGUAGACUUAUGGAAGAGGUCAAUCAAGCAAAUAAGAUUCAAAAAGAAAACUCCACAUUUGUUGCCAGCAAUGCUCAUGGGGAGAAGUAUAGGAAACCAAAGCCUACAAAUCUGAAGCCUUUUAGGUUUAGAACGGAUGAAAGACGGAUGUUUAAGGAAGCAACUUUGGAGAAAAAAGCUCAUGCACCACUGAAGUAGAUCACAUUAGUCAGGAAUCCAGGAGCAAAGUCAACAAGCAAACAUCAGAAUGUGAUACAGAUGAAAGUUUCAAUCUUCAGCAACAAGGAGAAAUGAGUCGGCCGGAGGACUCUGAAAGAUGAUUGUUGUUGUUGCUGCUAUAGAUAUGCUGGCGGAUCCUGUGGAGGGAGAGUUAAGCUUGGAUUGAGAAGUGGGAUAAUCCUCUGCAAUGCUAUCAAUACAGUUCAAACUGGAGUUGUGCCCAAGUCAAUAAAAAAUCUUCACUGAAUACAUAAUGUUUGAUGGAGUGACUCAUGAAAAGCAACAUGCACACCUGCAAGGGAAAAACUAGGGAAAUUGCUAGAGACAUUUCAAGUGAUCAUGGAAUGCUUUUCUCUUGCUGAGAUUGUAACCCAAUCAAUAAGCAACUGAAACACAGAAGUUCUUCAUCGCAUGUUAGUUUUGAUCCAUUUCUAAAAAUCACAUGCGUGCACAAGAAAAACAUCUCUUUAGCAGCAAAGAAGAAAGAAGAGUGAAAUACUGAACAACAAUGUGAAAAGUUGGGACAUAGAAAACAAGAUUUUUUUUUUUUUUUUUGUAUUAUAACUAUAUGGAUGUAAAUAAGAUAAUUUUUAGGUAUGAUUUGUUCUUUAUAGAACAUAGGAUGUCAAUAGAUUUUGAUAUAGAUGUAAAUAAAUUUUUACGAGUCCCACACAUUUAACAAAGUUUCAAAACCCGCGGCAUUGCGCGGGCUCUUUAGCUUGUAGUACCUAAUUAUUGGUUUCGUUUUAUAAAUAAUGUCUACUUAGUGGUCUA